rnacentral:rRNA from 1 species
GCAACGACGUUAAAAAACUGCGCGGUCUGCGCCCUAUUGGCGUGGGCAACACCGUUUAAGUGCUGAGAAUGCCCGGCGAGAGCCCCGCACAACCAGCAGCCAGCAGUUACUGCCUGGUCCACAGAUCAAUCGACGGUGACCGUUAUCGGUUAAGUUAUGACCGGUCCAGAGCCCCAACGGGCCCUGGAGCCAUGGAACCUGCGGAAGGAUCAUU